GGUUUGGUGGUCUAGUAGUAUGAUUCACCCUUAGGGCCGUCGAUGAUCAGGUAGGCACUUGCCUCAUCGGCACGAGCGACUUGGGUGAGGUCCCGGGUUCAAUUCCCGGCCAGACCC